rnacentral:rRNA from 1 species
AAGUCGAACGAUGNUCCGGUGCUUGCACCGGGGAUUAGUGGCGAACGGGUGAGUAACACGUGAGUAACCUGCCCUUAACUCUGGGAUAAGCCUGGGAAACUGGGUCUAAUACCGGAUAUGACUUCCCAUCGCAUGGUGGGGGGUGGAAAGCUUUUGUGGUUUUGGAUGGACUCGCGGCCUAUCAGCUUGUUGGUGAGGUAAUGGCUCACCAAGGCGACGACGGGUAGCCGGCCUGAGAGGGUGACCGGCCACACUGGGACUGAGACACGGCCCAGACUCCUACGGGAGGCAGCAGUGGGGAAUAUUGCACAAUGGGCGCAAGCCUGAUGCAGCGACGCCGCGUGAGGGAUGACGGCCUUCGGGUUGUAAACCUCUUUCAGUAGGGAAGAAGCGAAAGUGACGGUACCUGCAGAAGAAGCGCCGGCUAACUACGUGCCAGCAGCCGCGGUAAUACGUAGGGCGCAAGCGUUAUCCGGAAUUAUUGGGCGUAAAGAGCUCGUAGGCGGUUUGUCGCGUCUGCUGUGAAAGACCGGGGCUCAACUCCGGUUCUGCAGUGGGUACGGGCAGACUAGAGUGAUGUAGGGGAGACUGGAAUUCCUGGUGAAUGCGCAGAUAUCAGGAGGAACACCGAUGGCGAAGGCAGGUCUCUGGGCAUUAACUGACGCUGAGGAGCGAAAGCAUGGGGAGCGAACAGGAUUAGAUACCCUGGUAGUCCAUGCCGUAAACGUUGGGCACUAGGUGUGGGGGACAUUCCACGUUUUCCGCGCCGUAGCUAACGCAUUAAGUGCCCCGCCU